rnacentral:tRNA from 1 species
GCCUCUGUAGCUCAGUUGGUUAGGGCGCUGCACCGGAAUCGCAGGGCCGUAGGUUCAAUUCCUACCAGAGGAC